ACUCCUGCGGGAGGCAGCAGUGGGGAAUUUUGGACAAUGGGCGAAAGCCUGAUCCAGCAAUGCCGCGUGAGUGAAGAAGGCCUUCGGGUUGUAAAGCUCUUUUGUCAGGGAAGAAACGGUGAAAGCUAAUAUCUUUUGCUAAUGACGGUACCUGAAGAAUAAGCACCGGCUAACUACGUGCCAGCAGCCGCGGUAAUACGUAGGGUGCAAGCGUUAAUCGGAAUUACUGGGCGUAAAGCGUGCGCAGGCGGUUUUGUAAGUCUGAUGUGAAAUCCCCGGGCUCAACCUGGGAAUUGCAUUGGAGACUGCAAGGCUAGAAUCUGGCAGAGGGGGGUAGAAUUCCACGUGUAGCAGUGAAAUGCGUAGAUAUGUGGAGGAACACCGAUGGCGAAGGCAGCCCCCUGGGUCAAGAUUGACGCUCAUGCACGAAAGCGUGGGGAGCAAACAGGAUUAGAAACCCCGGUAGUCCCAUGAU
rnacentral:rRNA from 1 species